UGCAUAUCAAUAAGCGGAGGAAAAGAAACCAACAGGGAUUACCUCAGUAACGGCGAGUGAAGCGGUAACAGCUCAAAUUUGAAAUCUGGCCUCACGGUCCGAGUUGUAAUUUGUAGAGGAUGCUUCGAGCAUGGUCUGGCCUAAGUUCCUUGGAACAGGACGUCAUAGAGGGUGAGAAUCCCGUAUGCGGUCAGGUGCCUACGCUCAUGUGAAGCUCCUUCGACGAGUCGAGUUGUUUGGGAAUGCAGCUCAAAAUGGGUGGUAAAUUUCAUCUAAAGCUAAAUAUUGGCCAGAGACCGAUAGCGCACAAGUAGAGUGAUCGAAAGAUGAAAAGCACUUUGGAAAGAGAGUUAAACAGUACGUGAAAUUGUUGAAAGGGAAGCGCUUGCAACCAGACUUGCGCGCGGCCGAUCAUCCGGUGUUCUCACCGGUGCACUCGGCCGUGCUCAGGCCAGCAUCGGUUUCGGCGGUUGGAUAAAGGCCUCAGGAAUGUGGCUCCUCUCGGGGAGUGUUAUAGCCUGGGGUGCAAUGCAGCCUGCUGGGACCGAGGACCGCGCUUCGGCUAGGAUGCUGGCGUAAUGGUUGUAAGCGGCCCGUCUUGAAACACGGACCAC
rnacentral:rRNA from 1 species